UACGAAGGGGGCUAGCGUUGCUCGGAAUCACUGGGCGUAAAGCGCACGUAGGCGGCUUUUUAAGUCAGGGGUGAAAUCCUGGAGCUCAACUCCAGAACUGCCUUUGAUACUGGGAAGCUUGAGUCCGGGAGAGGUGAGUGGAACUCCGAGUGUAGAGGUGAAAUUCGUAGAUAUUCGGAAGAACACCAGUGGCGAAGGCGGCUCACUGGCCCGAUACUGACGCUGAGGUGCGAAAGCGUGGGGAGCAAACAGG
rnacentral:rRNA from 1 species